UACAGAGGGGGCAAGCGUUGUUCGGAAUUACCGGGCGUAAAGGGCGCGUAGGCGGCCUGUUAAGUCGAACGUGAAAUCCCCGGGCUCAACCCGGGAACUGCGUCCGAUACUGGCUGGCUUGAAUCCGGGAGAGGGGUGCGGAAUUCCAGGUGUAGCGGUGAAAUGCGUAGAUAUCUGGAGGAACACCGGUGGCGAAGGCGGCAUCCUGGACCGGUAUUGACGCUGAGGCGCGAAAGCCAGGGGAGCAAACGGG
rnacentral:rRNA from 1 species